GCAAACUUGGUCAUUUAGAGGAAGUAAAAGUCGUAACAAGGUUUCCGUAGGUGAACCUGCGGAAGGAUCAUUAAAGGGAACUGGAGCCCGCCUCCGUCCUCCCAUCCGUGUAUACCUCAGGUCCUUUGCUUCGUUACUUCGGCGGAAAGGUUUUCCGUCGGGCAACCAGCACAUAACUCCUGUCGAACGUGUCGUCUGAGCAUGAGCACAAUGAUUUAAAACUUUCAACAACGGAUCUCUUGGUUCUGGCAUCGAUGAAGAACGCAGC
rnacentral:misc_RNA from 1 species